AACGAACGCUGGCGGCAGGCUUAACACAUGCAAGUCGAGCGCCCCGCAAGGGGAGCGGCAGACGGGUGAGUAACGCGUGGGAAUCUACCGUACCCUACGGAAUAGCUCCGGGAAACUGGAAUUAAUACCGUAUACGCCCUACGGGGGUAAGAUUUAUCGGGGUAUGAUGAGCCCGCGUUGGAUUAGCAAGUUGGUGGGGGAAAGGCCUACCAAGGCGACGCUCCAUAGCUGGUCGGAGAGGAUGAUCGGCCACAUUGGGAGGGAGCCACGGCCCAAACUCCUACGGGAGGCAGCAGUGGGGAAUAUUGGACAAUGGGCGCAAGCCUGAUCCAGCCAUGCCGCGUGAGUGAUGAAGGUCUUAGGAUUGUAAAGCUCUUUCACCGAUGAAGAUAAUGACGGUAGUCGGAGAAGAAGCCCCGGCUAACUUCGUGCCAGCCGCCGCAGUAA
rnacentral:rRNA from 1 species